rnacentral:rRNA from 1 species
GACGAACGCUGGCGGCGUGCUUAACACAUGCAAGUCGAACGGGAAGGCCCUGCUUUUGUGGGGUGCUCGAGUGGCGAACGGGUGAGUAACACGUGAGUAACCUGCCCUUGACUUUGGGAUAACUUCAGGAAACUGGGGCUAAUACCGGAUAGGAGCUCCUGCUGCAUGGUGGGGGUUGGAAAGUUUCGGCGGUUGGGGAUGGACUCGCGGCUUAUCAGCUUGUUGGUGGGGUAGUGGCUUACCAAGGCCUUGACGGGUAGCCGGCCUGAGAGGGUGACCGGCCACAUUGGGACUGAGAUACGGCCCAGACUCCUACGGGAGGCAGCAGUGGGGAAUAUUGCACAAUGGGCGGAAGCCUGAUGCAGCAACGCCGCGUGCGGGAUGACGGCCUUCGGGUUGUAAACCGCUUUCGCCUGUGACGAAGCGUGAGUGACGGUAAUGGGUAAAGAAGCACCGGCUAACUACGUG